GACGAACGCUGGCGGCGUGCUUAACACAUGCAAGUCGAACGGAAAGGCCUCUUUCGGGGGGUACUCGAGUGGCGAACGGGUGAGUAACACGUGAGUAACCUGCCCUUGACUUUGGGAUAACUUCAGGAAACUGAGGCUAAUACCGGAUAGGAGCUCCUGCUGCAUGGUGGGGGUUGGAAAGUUUCGGCGGUUGGGGAUGGACUCGCGGCUUAUCAGCUUGUUGGUGGGGUAGUGGCUUACCAAGGCUUUGACGGGUAGCCGGCCUGAGAGGGUGACCGGCCACAUUGGGACUGAGAUACGGCCCAGACUCCUACGGGAGGCAGCAGUGGGGAAUACUGCACAAUGGGUGGAAGCCUGAUGCAGCAACGCCGUGUGCGGGAUGACGGCCUUCGGGUUGUAAACCGCUUUCGCUCAUGACGAAGCUUUGUGUGACGGUAGUGGGUAAAGAAGCACCGGCUAACUACGUG
rnacentral:rRNA from 1 species